rnacentral:lncRNA from 1 species
AGAAAGCAGAAUUUUCAUCAGAAACUUUUCCUGCAACAGUGGAAGACUUCGGAGGAUCAAGGUUAGUCUGGGAAGACUUUGGAGGAUCAAGGUUAGUCUCUAUACGGGUUCUCCUCUCAUUGGCCCUGAAUCCAUUAGUCUGAUUUUCUCUGAAGAGUUGUGAAGUUGUUUCACGGGCAAACUUAGUAACAAGAGAAAACUUCUCCAAAACCUGAAUAGAGAGGUCCCGAGUAGGA